GAUGAACGCUGGCGGCGUGCCUAAUACAUGCAAGUCGAGCGAACAGACGAGGAGCUUGCUCCUCUGACGUUAGCGGCGGACGGGUGAGUAACACGUGGAUAACCUACCUAUAAGACUGGGAUAACUUCGGGAAACCGGAGCUAAUACCGGAUAAUAUAUUGAACCGCAUGGUUCAAUAGUGAAAGACGGUUUUGCUGUCACUUAUAGAUGGAUCCGCGCCGCAUUAGCUAGUUGGUAAGGUAACGGCUUACCAAGGCAACGAUGCGUAGCCGACCUGAGAGGGUGAUCGGCCACACUGGAACUGAGACACGGUCCAGACUCCUACGGGAGGCAGCAGUAGGGAAUCUUCCGCAAUGGGCGAAAGCCUGACGGAGCAACGCCGCGCGAGUGAUGAAGGUCUUCGGAUCGUAAAACUCUGUUAUUAGGGAAGAACAAAUGUGUGAGUAACUAUGCACGUCUUGACGGUACCUAAUCAGAAAGCCACGGCUAACUACGUG
rnacentral:rRNA from 1 species